rnacentral:lncRNA from 1 species
UUUUACUUCAAAGGCAUUUCAGGCUGUUAGAAUUCUAAGCCUUACCAGAAAACUGGGGAGGUCAGCUUAAACCCAAGUUACAGAUUAAUUCUCUUUAGACUCCUUUCUCUCUUUACCACCAGCAUCCUAUCUUACUAACUUUGAAGGCCUUAUGCCUAUUAAAUCUUCCCAUAGUAAUAUUGCCAGUAUGUCUCCAGUCUUGAGCUACACUCCUGCUGUCCUAGGUCUUCCCCCUCCACCAGCUGCACUUUAUUUCUUGGGACUGCUGCGUAACAGAAAUGCUUUUGUGCUGCGAGAGGUGAGUGCCUUCUGGUGGGCUAUGCACACAGAGGAGACUGAAUAGAGCAUAGCUUCCUUGUUUUGUCACCCAACAUUUGUGCACCUGUAUGGGAACUGUUGAAUCACGGCCUGAACCUCUGAUUGACCACCUGAGGCGAGUGCUGAGUCAGCUGCAGAGGCACAGGUGAACACAAUUUCACCUGAGUGAAUUGGAGCCAGGCUCAACCCCUCCUAGACUCCACUUAAGGGCUGAUUCCCAAGAAGGAAGGACCUCUAUCUGGAGAUCACUCCUCUUGGAGCCCUUCUGUGAGACCAGGACAUGGAACAUGAUGUACAAACUGAAGAAACCUGGUCAUCAGCUGGCAAUUUCAGCUCAAAGGAACAUCUGAUUCCUAAAGUUACAGAACUUGUCUGAAAGAUUUGUUUGAAAAAGAGAAUGAACUACUCAAUGUCCCAGAUAUCCUCAACAGUGGAAUGUCUGGAUGCUUUCACCGAGAAGAUUCAUCCAUGGAAUCUUUUCAUUUCCAGGGGAAAAAAAGAAAAAAGAAACAACAACAACAACAAAAAAACAUUUAAACUGAAGAUAUUGCAGAGAGUCAUUCCCAAGGAGAUUAAUUAUAUUGUGACCUUCUCAUAAAAUCAGCCCUUGUUUACUUCAUGAUUCUCAUCUGGCCAACCAGGUAGAAUUGACACUUGGCAAUCUUCUGUUUGAGAAGAUUUUACAAGCUGGAGCAGACCGCAGCACAGAAGUAUGAAACACUACAGGUGAUAAUUGAAGGACAUUCUGGGGAGGAGGAGAAGGUACCUGGGGGAUCCAAAACAUGGAGUGCAGCUCCCCAGGGAGCCCACAUGGAGCACUGGAAGAAUCAGUAACCUGAGGAGAGAAACUCACUGCACACAAUGAAUGAUAACCUAUACUCAACAGUGUGAAAGAGCAAGAGAAAAGAUGGGGUUCAAAGUGCAACUCUACAAGAAGGGCAAGCUUCCAGCCUGAUAUGGCAGCAAGACAUCUCUCACUCAGGAUCUGCAAAAGCAACCUUCCCUGGUGUCAGGAUAUGAACAACCUUUCCUCAGCAUACCCAGGGGCUACCCUGCUCUCCUCAGCCUUGCAUGCUUCUAGGUGUAGCCAAAACUCUGCUUUGUGUAAACAGUAUACGUCAUUCAGUGUGUAACGGCACUUGUGCUUUAGGGUAGUAUCUUGCCUAGCCUCCAUCUGAAGGUAUGAACCUCCUCUGUUCCUGUGCCACAUGUCCCAGCCUCAUUCAGGUGUUUCAUGUCCCACCCAACUUGUAGAAACAGCAAGUUACUUGGGAUAGAAAUAUACAUGUGUUCAAGCAACUACGCAGAAUCAGUAGAUAGUUGAAAACAGUAGCAGUAGUCUCUUUUUGCCUCAGCUCCCCAUCUUCAGAACGGUGGUUAAAAUGCAUUAGUUAAUUCUUGAGAACCAUGGAUACACAGCAGUAAAAGCCCUGCAGGAUCCCAAAGAAAGGUACAAGUAGAAUCAUAGAGUCACAGAAUUGCUCAGGUUGGAAAAGACCUUAAAGAUCAUCAAGUCCAACUACAACCGAACCAUACAAUGCUAACUCUAACAACCCUCCACUAAAUCAUGUCCCUAAGCACCACAUCCAAACGGUUUUUAAACACAUCCAAGGAUGGUGACUCAACCACCUCCCUGGGGAGCCUAUUCCAGUGCUUAACAACCCUUUCUGUAAGGAAGUUUUUUCUGAUAUCCAACCUAAACCUACCCUGGUGCAACUUGAGGCCAUUUCUCCUCAUCCUGUCACCUAUGAGAUCAACUCCACUCUUGCUGUACGCACCUUUCAGAUACUGGAAGAGAGCAAUAAGGUCUCCCCUCAGCCUCCUCUUUCCCAGACUAAACAGCCCUAGUUCCCUCAGUCGUUCCCCGUAGGGCAUAUUCUCCAAGCCCUUCACAAGCUUUAUGGCCCUUGUUUGGACCUGCUGCAGCACCUCAGUGUCCUUUCUGUAUUGAAGUGCCCAAAACUGAACACAGAACUCAAGGUGAGGCCUCACCAAUGCUGAGUACAGGGGCAGGAUUUCUUUCCUAGUCCUGCUCACCACACUAUUCCUGAUACAAGCUAGGAUGCCAUUGGCCUUCUUGGCCACCUGGGCACACUGCUGGCUCAUAUUCAGCUGACUAUCCAUCAGUACACCAAGGCCCCUUUCUGUCAGGCAGAUUUCCAGCCACUCACUCCCAAGCCUGUAGGGUUGCCUGGGAUUGUUGUGACCAAAAUGCAGGACCCAACACGUGGCCCUUUUGAAACUCAUACAGUUCACCUUGGCCCAUCAAUCCAGUCUAUCCAGGUCUCUCUGUAGUGCCUUUCUCCCCUCUGGCAGAUCAACACUCCCUCCCAACCUGAUGUCAUCUGCAAACUUACUGAGGGUGCACUCAAUCUCCUCAUCAAGAUCAUUAAUAAAGAUGUUAAAUAGAAGCGGCCCCAGUAAAUUCUGUAUCUAUUCUAAGUGUUAUAUGAUAUACGUUAAAUAAUAACUUGAUCUGCACAUUGAGUGGAGGCUGAAAGGGAUCCCUGAGAAGCAGCUCACUCACUGAAAAAGGCAGGAUUCUGAGAGAAGAGGAAGGUGUGAUCAUCUAACUAAGAAACGUAUAAUUAUCUCUACACAAAUUGGGGCUGAACUUCAAGCUUAAAAGUAAUCUCAGUUCUAGUAUCUCUUAACUUUUCCUUGCAUAAUUUUGCAGCUUCAGUGUCUUUUGCAAAACGUGUUUCAGUUCCCUCCUGAGAGUAAGACCUGAACAUACUGGGGGGUAGCACUUUUGUCCCACACAGCCACUCCAACUACAAUGUGUGGGAAGCAGAGCCUGGUUCUCCAGUGCUUCAGCUCAGAAACCUUCCACUUGA